GCGAGGAUGCCCGAGUUGGUCUAAGGGGUCCGACUCAAGAUCGGAUAUUCUUCGGAAUGCGCGGGUUCAAAUCCCGUUCCUCGCA
rfam:Plasmodiophora brassicae isolate e3 genome assembly, contig: scaffold_9